rnacentral:rRNA from 1 species
UACGGAGGGGGCUAGCGUUGUUCGGAAUUACUGGGCGUAAAGCGCACGUAGGCGGCUUUGUAAGUUAGAGGUGAAAGCCCGGGGCUCAACCCCGGAAUUGCCUUUAAGACUGCAUCGCUAGAAUUGUGGAGAGGUAAGUGGAAUUCCGAGUGUAGAGGUGAAAUUCGUAGAUAUUCGGAAGAACACCAGUGGCGAAGGCGACUUACUGGACACAUAUUGACGCUGAGGCACGAAAGCGUGGGGAGCAAACAGG